AGCGAACGCUGGCGGCAGGCCUAAUACAUGCAAGUCGAACGAAGCCUUCGGGCUUAGUGGCGGACGGGUGAGUAACACGUGGGAACGUACCUUUUGGUUCGGAACAACUCAGGGAAACUUGAGCUAACACCCGCAGCGCCCCUAGGCGGAAAGAUCUACCGCCGAAAGAGCGGCCCGCGUUAGAUUAGCGAGUUGGUGAGGUAAAGGCUCACCAAGGCUACGAUCUAUAGCUGGUCUGAGAGGAUGAUCAGCCACACUGGGCCUGAGACACGGCCCAGACUCCUACGGGAGGCAGCAGUGGGGAAUCUUGCGCGAUGGGCGAAAGCCUGACGCAGCCAUGCCGCGUGAGUGAUGAAGGCCUUAGGGUCGUAAAGCUCUUUCACCGGAGAAGAUAAUGACGGUAUCCGGAGAAGAAGCCCCGGCUAACUUCGUGCCAGCAGCCGCCGUAA
rnacentral:rRNA from 1 species